CCUACGGGUGGCUGCAGUGGGGAAUAUUGCACAAUGGGGGAAACCCUGAUCCAGCGACGCCGCGUGAGCGAUGAAGUAUCUCGGUAUUUAAAGCUCUAUUAGCAGGGGAGAAAAUGACGGUACCUGACUAAGAAGCCCCGGCUAACUACGUGCCAGCAGCCGCGGUAAUACGUAGGGGGCAAGCGUAAUCCGGAUUUACUGGGUGUAAAGGGAGCGUAGACGGCGGUGCAAGCCAGAUGUGAAAGCCCGGGGCUCAACCCCGGGACUGCAUUUGAAACUGUGCUGCUAGAGUGUCGGAGAGGCAGGCGGAAUGCAUAGUGUAGCGGUGAAAUGCGUAGAUAUUAGGCGGAACACCAGUGGCGAAGGCAGCCUGCUGGACGAUGUCUGACGUUGAGGCACGAAAGCGUGGGGAGCAAACAGGAUUAGAUACCCGAGUAGUC
rnacentral:rRNA from 1 species